rnacentral:lncRNA from 1 species
GCCACAACGGCGCAAGAUCCAGCCACCAUGGGUCCCCAGCAUGGCUGCAAAGCAAUGGAUCCGGUUGCUGCAGACAAUGUUGCCGCCGGUCUCCACCAAGUCCUGCGGCCAGAAGCCUCCUCCCCAUACUACCUCGAUCAGGCCAUGCCUCGUCGGCUAAUCACACAAUCCCCACACUGUCGGCUCCCUCAAAAGCGUCCAGUUUGUCGGCGGCGAGUGGUUCCUUUGUGCUCGACGAGUGGUGCGUUCGUGCUCGGCGUGUAGUGCGUUUGGAUACUCGAGCAGUGCAGUCAGUUUUUUUAAGUUCACUAUUCUCUCCUCUACCACCUAGAGUUUAUGCAGUCGAAGAUGGCGAGCUCGCCUCUCGUCUUUGAUGAUGGUAGCUUCUGCCCACACCCAUUCCUUGCAGGUCACAUCUCCUUGUGUGCGUUUUGGAGAACACAUCCAUGCAGCUCGCAGUCAUCUUGCAUUUGAUUUAACACUCUAGAAACAAGUGUCCUCACAUGUCAAAAUAGAAUUUUGAGGUUCAGUUGGCAGUGACAAACAUGCAAUCCGCUCGCUGAUCUAUGCAGGUUCAUUUCUGUUGUUUUUGGAGGGAAGGAGACACGUAUAUAAAACCAAAACGUUUGACCGCACCCAUGAUGAACUCUGUUUGGUGUAGUUUGAAAUGUUGCCUUUGUAAGAAAAUGUAUGUGUGUGCUGAGAAAUUUUGUAUUAUGGUUUCUCAUAACCUCACUCUCCACCCCAGCCCCCAUGCAGUUUAGUCGAUGUGUCCAUGUGGUGCAGAGCGCAUCUUGGUGCAGCCCGUCGGUGGUGUCAACUGCGGACAUGCGUGCAGUACUGUUCCCACGAUGGUGUAGUUCACUUUGGUCGGUCCUUCGGAUGGGCAGUCAGGUUGUUCAUGUGUGUUCCAAUUUUCUCAAAAAAUGUGUAUUUAAUUUGUUCAAAAAUUGUUUGUUUUAUGAAAAAGUUCACAUGGUUA